CGGGUACUCUGACUUCCUCCCAAAGAUCAAAAAUAUGACUGUCGCUACAGGAGAUCCUUCCUGCAAACAGCCAACAGCCUCUACAACAGCUCUUUGAAGAAACUUGGAUGAAUUUUGCUGAUUUGGCAUUUCCCUGUUUGUCUUCCCUGUUCUCUCACCCUCCACACUGCUGCCUCCCAGCUAGUCAAGGGAAAUGCAGCUGUCUGUCUUAAUUCUUGUACUGCUAGAGGUCUCUUUCUAUAAAGAGGGAGU